rnacentral:sRNA from 1 species
UUAUCAGCUGUUGCUUGCUUUAGAAACAAAAUAUCCAUGGCAGCAGCCAGUGUUUAGUUACAGAAAACUCUCAACAAAUAAAGUUGCAAUUUUACCUCAAGUCGGUUGUUCUAUAUUAGAAGAUAACAAGAAAAGAGCAAUUAUCGGUUUCUUAAGUGUUUGAUGGAAUCAACCUUAUGGGAGAGCUACGAUGAAACCAACAACGUUCCUUUGAAUUUGUUAAGGAGGGAAGAUGCUGCAAUGGUAUUGAGUGGGUC